rnacentral:rRNA from 1 species
AGUCGAGCGGUAGCACAGAGAGCUUGCUCUCGGGUGACGAGCGGCGGACGGGUGAGUAAUGUCUGGGAAACUGCCUGAUGGAGGGGGAUAACUACUGGAAACGGUAGCUAAUACCGCAUAAUGUCGCAAGACCAAAGUGGGGGACCUUCGGGCCUCAUGCCAUCAGAUGUGCCCAGAUGGGAUUAGCUAGUAGGUGGGGUAACGGCUCACCUAGGCGACGAUCCCUAGCUGGUCUGAGAGGAUGACCAGCCACACUGGAACUGAGACACGGUCCAGACUCCUACGGGAGGCAGCAGUGGGGAAUAUUGCACAAUGGGCGCAAGCCUGAUGCAGCCAUGCCGCGUGUGUGAAGAAGGCCUUCGGGUUGUAAAGCACUUUCAGCGGGGAGGAAGGCGGUGAGGUUAAUAACCUCGUCGAUUGACGUUACCCGCAGAAGAAGCACCGGCUAACUCCGUGCCAGCAGCCGCGGUAAUACGGAGGGUGCAAGCGUUAAUCGGAAUUACUGGGCGUAAAGCGCACGCAGGCGGUCUGUCAAGUCGGAUGUGAAAUCCCCGGGCUCAACCUGGGAACUGCAUUCGAAACUGGCAGGCUAGAGUCUUGUAGAGGGGGGUAGAAUUCCAGGUGUAGCGGUGAAAUGCGUAGAGAUCUGGAGGAAUACCGGUGGCGAAGGCGGCCCCCUGGACAAAGACUGACGCUCAGGUGCGAAAGCGUGNGGAGCAAACAGGAUUAGAUACCCUGGUAGUCCACGCCGUAAACGAUGUCGAUUUGGAGGUUGUGCCCUUGAGGCGUGGCUUCCGGAGCUAACGCGUUAAAUCGACCGCCUGGGGAGUACGGCC